AUACGGAGGGUCCGAGCGUUAAUCGGAAUUACUGGGCGUAAAGCGCGCGUAGGUGGAUGUAUAAGUCAGAUGUGAAAGCCCUGGGCUCAACCUAGGAACUGCAUUUGAAACUGUACGUCUAGAGUAUGGUAGAGGUGAGUGGAAUUUCAGGUGUAGCGGUGAAAUACGUAGAGAUCUGAAGGAACAUCAGUGGCGAAGGCGACUCACUGGGCCAUUACUGACACUGAGGUGCGAAAGCGUGGGUAGCAAACAGGAUUAGAAACCCUGUAGUCC
rnacentral:rRNA from 1 species